ACUUGCCUAGUUAAAUAAAGAUUAAAUAAAAACAUGAUGCACCUCUGGGGUGAGGUGAGGUGAGCUGCCUGGCAUGCGGUGCCUGGCUGUCUGGGAUGGUGUUAAUGAUCCUUUAUCUCCCCCAAGGUUACAGAUGAACAGCACAAGAGGAAGAGGCACGAGAUUGCCUUUGCUCCCAGCAAACAUGGGUGGGGAGAGAGAGAGGAGAGGGUGGGGAGGGGCACACCGGUGUAAAUAUUCAGCUCAUGUUCCCACUCUGCUCCGUGCCUGACUGAGCCUUGUCUGAUGACCACGGAAUGAUGGGGGAGAAGGGGGCAUAAUUUAAACUUGAGGAAGAAAGUAUUUUUCUGACUGGGCUGUCACCUGAUUGGAAUGUAAAUCCAGGGGGCGGUUCAUCGCUGUUUUCCAUCUAGGGUCCUGAAUUGUGUUGUGUCAAAGCAGGGAUUGUAAAGAGGCUGUGCAGUGAAUGCAGCAGGAUGACUAUUAUAUAUUGGUCUCUAGCAGCUGUGUGUUUUUUUCUCAACACCAGUGAUGCUAGGAGAGUAUUUCCACUGAGCUCAGACGUCAGUUAAACGUCUAGUUUCGAUUUUGGUUAAGAUGUCAACUAAUGUGAAUUCAACGUGAAAUAAACCAAAAAAUUCCCUAUGCCAUUCGAUUAAGGUUAAAAGUUUAGUAAAAAAAAUAUGAAAUGGCCUUACGUUGAUGACUUUUUGCAAAUCAAAUCAGUUUUCCAUGUUGACUUUUCAGAAACACUUUAUGGCAAGUCAUGAGAUCCUUGGAAACACUCAGUAUUCAUAGGGCUGAUUUUUUUUCAUACAAUACUUAUUGUUGUCUGGAAGAAAGAGAUUGUGAUUGCAUCCCCAGGUACUAUGGUCACUGGUAUCUAUCUCCCCCCUACUAUGUUUAGAAAAUGAACACAAAAUUGCCCAUUCACCAACCCCAUGUGAAUCUAUGCUGUGAUUAAUUGAGGUCAUUUCCCUUUGCCGCUGUGUACAUGAUAGCAAUUAGACUUGAAUAACCUAAGGCAGUUCCACUUUAAGAAAAGUCAUCAAGGAUAUCUGGGAGAUGGAGCUGCUAAGACAGAUCUGGCAGAUUGCUCAUCUCCUGACAGUGCUGAAUCUUUUACGAGUUUUCCAUACCAGUGCACUUGCCUUCAUCUGCAGUGUGCACUUACAGAUUGGAGUGAGCUACAGUACAUCUACAGACAUUCAGGCCAAUGUUCAUUUCAUGUAUUUAAAGGAGUCUCAGGUUUUAAAUGCAGCCUUGAUAUGGCUCAACUCUCUCCUGAGAGGAAAAGAGGCAUCAUCCAAGAACUCUCAGGUUUUAAAUGCAGGCUCGAUACUCCUUAACUCUCUCCAGAGAAGAAAAGAGGCACCAUCCAAGAACUCUCAGCUUUUAAAUGCAGGAUUGAUACUCCUCAACUCUCUCCUGAGAAAACAGCCCACUGGGCAAGAAGUGAUUGAAUAAAUAUUCUUUCCAUGUCAUUUCCAACUUCAAAAAUGUAUGUGAUGAUUUUGAAUCACUGUGGAAAACUGAUUGGAUUUGCAAAAAGUCAUCAAUGUAAGGACAUUUCUUAAUUUUUUUACCCAACUUUUACCCUAAAUUCAAAGGCAUGGUGACAUUUCUAUUUGUAUUUUAAGUUGAAUUUACGUUUGUUGAUAACUCAACCAAGAUAAAAUCAAAACUAGACGUUGAAAUGAUGUCUGCGCCCAGAGAGAGUGGGUAUUUUAGAGAAACUCUCAGAGAGACAUGAUAAAAGAGAGAGAGGAGACAGAGAGAGAGAAAGAAAGAGAGACAGCUGUCUGUCUAAAGAGAUGCUUUAUUCAAAUUGAGUCCAAGCAGGCAUGCGCUUCAGGGACAGCUGUGACUUGUAACAGUGUUUAAGACCAACCGUGUGGGGUUGGACAGAUUAUUCCGAUAGGGGAAAAAAAUGCCUACAAAUAUUAAGUGAAAAAGUAUUGAAUACAAUGUAUGAGGGACCUACUAGGAUGUGACUGGCCUUGAAAGACUACAGGCAUGCAUCCCAAACGGCACCCUACCCCGUUUAUAAUGCCAUUUGGGACGCAGCAUGGUGUUGAUGUGAAAGAGUUGCAGAGCUCCUGAGAAACUGCCAUGUCUGGAAACAAGCAGUCUGUGUCCUAUCAGUUAAUUUGGGUGGGUUUAUUAACCUCCGCUGCCUGCUAUUCUUUGUGCGGGACUAUUUGCUGUUGUUGCUACGAUAGUGUUUGCGCCACAGGUUUUUUUUUUCUUUCUCCUCACAGUCGUGUUGUACCGUUGUAGUUUAUUUAGGAGUAGAGAUUUCUCCUCCGUGUGUUACGUUUAUUUCCCUGUGUGUGGCGACUUCGUUGGGUGUGUUUCCCCACCUGUUGUUGUCGUGUUUGGGACGUUCUAAUAAACGUUUGUGCUUCUGGAAAUCCUUGCUCUCCUGCUCCUGACUCUUGGGAGGCACGUAACAGGAAUGGGACUUCGAUCAUGUGCUACGCCCCAUGAAGUUGAUGUCUGCAGUUUGGGGAAAUUAUGCUCCAAGAUUUGAAUGAAACCUCCUGCCAUCAUGAGAUGUGACGAGGGAUGGAAGCGGUAGGAACACUUCCAGCAGUGUUAUCAGGUGCAAACAGAAGGAGUCAGGAUCUCCGACUCCACAGGGGUAAGACAUCAGAGGGCACACGCUUCCCGGUUCCCGCGUCACCGUCACCGCCACCGGGCCGUGACUCAUCCAGUUGGCAUUAACAAUGAUGAGCUCCCCAGUGUGCUAGGUCGGGGGAGAGAAACGGCACUUGACUCCGGAUCGAAUGUUCCUCUAAUACUCUUGGCCGUAACUACAUAUAAGGACACCGAGGUCUGUACCUUGAUAAUUGAUUCAAGAAAAAAAAAGUAUAUAUUUGUUUUAAUUUCAUCUUUAUUUAACUGUGUAGGCCAGUUGAGAACAAGUUCUCAUUUACUGCGACCUGGCCAAGAUAAAGCAAAGCAGUGCGACACAAACAACAACACAGAGUUAUACAUGGAAUAAACAAACGUACAGUCAAUAACACAAUAGAAAAGUCUAUAUACAGUGUGUGCAAAUGAGGUAAGAUUAGGGAGGGAAUGUUAAGUCCUGACCAGUGAAAGAGGUCGUUUGCCAUAGUAGAAUGAUCAGGGCAGGGGGGGUUUGUUUUGUAUGUAUUUUGGGUUUUCUGUUUCUAUGUGGGUUUGUUCUAGUUAUCUAUUUCUAUGUAUUGGUUUUCAUGUUCGGCCGGGUAUGGUUUCCAAUCAGAGGCAGGUGUCUUUCGUUGUCUCUGAUUGGAAGCCAUACUUAGGCAGCCUGUUUUUCCUUUUGGGUUGUGGGUCGUUUUUUUCCGUUUUAGUUUUAGUACCUGACGGGACUGUUGUUGGUCGUUUUCUUGUUUUGCUGUUUGAAGUGUUUUCAUGAAAGAAUUAAGAAUGAGCACUAUCCACGCUGCGUCUUGGUCUCCAUUCCAUGACCCCUGUGACAGGUAAGGCAAUAAAUAGGCCAUAAUGGCGAAAUAAUUACAAUAAACACUGGAGUGAUGUGCAGACGAUGAAUGUACAAGUAGAGAUACUGGGGUGCAAAGGUGCAAAAAAACAAAAACAAUAUGGGGAUGAGGUAGUUGGGUGGGCUAUUUACAGAUGGGCUAUGUACAGGUGCAAUGAUCUGUAAGCUGCUCUGACAGCUGAUGCUUAAAGUUAGUGAGGGAGAUAGUUGUCUCCAGAUUCAGUGAUUUUUGCAAUUCAUUCCAGUCAUUGGCAGCAGAGAACUUGAAGGAAAGGCGGCCAAAGAGGAAUUGGCUUUGGGGGUGACCAGUGAAAUAUACCUGCUGGAGCGCGUGCUACGGGUGGGUGCUGCUAUGGUGAUCGGUGAGCUGAGAUAAGAUGGGGCUUUACCUAGCAAAGACUAUAUAUAUAGUACCAGUCAAAAGUUUAGACACACCUACUCAUUUUUUUUUUUUUUUACUAUUUUCUACGUUGCAGAAUAAAAGUGAAGACAUCAAAACUAUGAAAUAACACACAUGGAAUCAUGUAGUAACCUAUAAAGUGUUUGGUUACUACAUGACGCCCCACAAGACGCCUCACAAGUCCUCAAAUGGCAGCUUCAUUAAAUAGUGCCCGCCUCACAAGUCCUCAACUGGCAGCUUCAUUAAAUAGUACCUGCAAAACACCAGACUCAACGUCAACAAUGAAGAGGUGACUCCAGGAUGCUGGCUUUCUAGGUAGAGUUGCAAAGAAAAUGACAUAUCUCAGACUGGCCAAUAAAAAGAAAAGAUUAAGAUAGGCAAAAGAACAGACACUGGACAGAGAAACUCUGCCUGGAAGGCCAGCAUCCCGGAGUCGCCUUUUCACUGUUAACAUUGAGACUGGUGUUAUGCGGGUACUAUUUCAUUAAGCUGCCAGUUGAGGACUUGUGAGGCGUCUGUUUCUCAAACUAGACACUCUAAUGUACUUGUCUUCUUGCUCAGUUGUGCACCGGGGCCUCCCACUCCACUUUCUAUUCUGGUUAGGGCCAGUGUGCGCUGUUCUGUGAAGGGAGUAUUACACAGCGUCGUACGAGAUCUUCAGUUUCUUGGCAAUUUCUCGCAUGGAAUAGCAUUUCUCAGAACAAGCAUAGAUUGACGAGUUUCAGAAGAAAGGUCUUUGCUUCUGGCCAUUUUGAGCCUGUAAUUGAACCCACAAAUGCUGAUGCUCCAGAUACUCAACUAUCUUAAAGAAGGCCAGUUUUAUUGCUUCACGUCCUGACCAAAACGAAUACAAUUGCUCCCUCUGCUGGUCAGGACGUGACAGUACCCCCCCCCCCCCUCAAGGUGCAGACCCCGGAAUGCACCUUAAAAAAGAAAACACCAAAAAAUCCCCAAUACCCCAACAAAACCAAUAAACAAUAACCCCUAAACAAUAAGGGAGGGAAGGGAGGGUGGCUGUCGUCAACGACGGCACUGUGCUACACCCUCCCUCCCCAACCCACCUAUCCUGGAGGUGGCUCAGGUGCAGGACGUGGACCUCGCUCCACCUUCGGCGUCGCCCACUUCGGUGGCUCCGAUAGCUGCGCCGGGCAGACGGGCCACUUGGGCUGACCCUGGCAGACGGACCACUCUGGCUGGGCCGGAGGACAUGCGGGCCACUCGGGCUGGGCCGGAGGGCAGUCGGGCCACUCUGGCAGCUCCGGGCAGUCGGGCCACUCUGGCAGCUCCGGGCAGUCGGGCCACUCUGGCAGCUCCGGGCAGUCGGGCCACUCUGGCAGCUCCGGGCAGUCGGGCCACUCUGGCAUCUCCGGGCAGACGCACUCUGGCAGCUCCUGACUAGCGGGCGGCUCUGGCGGCUCCUGACUAGCGGGCGGCUCUGGCGGCUCCUGACUGGCGGGCGGCUCUGGCGACUCCUGACUGGCGGGCGGCUCUGGCGACUCCUGACUGGCGGGCGGCUCCGGCGACUCCUGACUGGCGGGCGGCUCUGGCGACUCCUGACUGGCGGCGGCUCUGGCGACUCCUGACUGGCGGGCGGCUCUGGCGACUCCUGACUGGCGGGCGGCUCUGGCGACUCCUGACUGGCGGGCAGCUCUGACGUGCCAGCCUGGAGACACGCACCUCCAUGCUAGUGCGUAUAGCGGGAAACACCGGACCGUAGAGGCGCACUGGCGGUCUUGAGCACAGGGUUGGCAUCACCCCUUCAGGCUCGAUGCUUACUUCGCCCUGGCACAUGCGGGGCGCUGGUACUGUGCCUACCGGCCUGAAAAUCCCAGGCCUCACCACAGCCCCAACCCCAAAGCACGGGACCUGUCCACCCUGUCUCUGCCCUACAAGGGUACGGGGAGCUGGCCUGGGGCUCCAAUCUCGCCCCGCCAAACAGCCCUUGUGCCCCCCCCAAAAAAGUUAUUGGGGCUGCCUCUCGGGUUCCCUUAGUUCCCUUAACUUGUCAUCCCAGAAUCUUCGCUCCUUUUGCCAAGUCCAUCCAUCCACACUGUUCUCCUGUGGCUCCCUCCUCUUCCGCUGCUUGGUCCUUUUGUGGUGGGUAGUUCUGUCACAUGUAUCGUAGUGGAGAGAAGACCAAGGCGCAGCGGGAAUGUGAAUACUCAUACUUUUAAUAAACUCAAGUAAGGCAUCCACAGGAAAAUAACAAUAAACACGACAACAGGAACAGUUUUGCAGGCUCACAAAACGCAGUGCAAAAACAACUACCCACAACCCCAAAGAAAAACACACACUACUAUAUAGGACUCCCAAUCAAAGGCAACUCAACACACCUGCCUUCAAUUGGGAGUCCAAUCACCAACACAACACUUAACACACACAAAAACCCUGCCACGUCCUGACCAAAACUAAUACAAUUGCUCCCUCUGCUGGUCAGGAUGUGACAGCUUCUUUAAUCAGGACAACAGUUUUCAGCUGUGCCAACAUAAUUGCAAAAGGGUUUUCUAAUGAUCAAUUAGCCUUUGAAAACGAUAAACUUGGAUUUGCUAACACAACGUUCCAUUGGAACACAGGAGUGAUGGUUGCUGAUAAUGGGCCGCUGUACACCUAUGUAGAUAUUCCAUAAAAUAUCUGCCGUUUCCAGCUACAAUGGUCAUUUACAACAUUAAUAAUGUUGUCAUGACGUUGGCCUGUGGGUAAGGUGUAUGUACCCCCCAUAAAUACCUUUCUCCCUUCCUUCCCUCUCUCUCUGACUCUACUGAAGGACUCUUGAAUAGCCUUUGUUAAACAUAGAGAGUCUGUGAACAUCAAACAAGUGGGGGGGAAAGGAACCAUAUUUCGGUAAUAGAACCAGUUGAAAAUAUGCUUUGGUACUUAAUGUAUAUGAUGUCUGUUCGGUUGUCAUCUGAGACAUUAUGACUGAUGACAGGAUGACAUAAACUGUAUCUGAGAAAGUCUACACAUUCUAGUUAUCAGAUUCACAUGGAAUUGUUGUGCAAAUUAAAUGUUUGAAUAUGAAACUAUUUGUGAUAAGAUUAAAUGUAAUUUUAGCUUCCAAAUGAGAGAAUUGGGUUUUCGUAAGGUUAGAGCCCUGCUCAAUCAGUGGCCCGCCCCUGUGAAGAGACAUGGGUUAUAAACUAUGAAACACAUCCUUCUCUCCCUCCACUAUAUAAGCCCUUGACGAAAAUGUAACCUCCUGUUCCGAGGACGAUAGGAUGACGGUCCAUACUUUAAAAAGGACUAACAUGUCAACUACAGAACUAAGCCAACCUCAGCGUGAGCUUUGGUUGUGAAUGGUAUGAACUUUGAACUAUUAUUCACUAAAGAAGUGAGACCUCCUAGCCGUUGAGUUAGCAACAGCAGCUGUAAAACACGGGCUAGAAAAGGACGGACGGCGUAUCCAGUCUAACACACAAUGAAGAUACUACAACGUAUUCAAUUUACCACCAGAGACAUUCUUCCGAGGACAGGAAGAUCUCUGUUGGCCAACACGGCCAGCAUCUACGACAAACCUACCGAAGCGCAGCUCAGAGUACAUUUUUAUUGCAUUUUCCUUUUCCAAAUGGGCGGUAAUUUAGAAUGCAUAAGAUACUAUAUUUACGAUAGCACAGCUACUCCCUUUGUUCCUCAGUCUUCCCGCUCUUUCAUUCAAGCCCAACCCCCUCUCUUUGUGUAACAAGCCGUCAUGUCGGCUCCGUCCACCAGGGACGUUUUCUGUAUGACAUAAUUUGCAUUCUGUGUAUAUGUAAUUCUGUGUGAUUAGUUAGGUAUUUAGGAAAUAAAUAAUUAAACCCAAUUUUGUAUUGCUGAUUCAACUUGUUAGCCAGGGUUCGUGAAGAUAACCAAGAAUUUACAACUUUCAGAUGAGACUGAAAUAAGGUGACGAUUAAUAUUGACUGUUAUUGAUGUAAAAUAUUACUAGGUCUUUCAGAGUUUAUUCGGAAGAUAACAGCUCUAUAAACACUCUUUGGUGGUGCCCCGACUUUCUAGUUAAUUACAUUUACAUGAUUAGCUCAAUCAGGUAAUAUUAAUUACAGAGAAAGGAUUUUAUAGAAUAGCAUGUCAUAUCAGUUAAUCCGGCAUAGCCAAAGACACCACAAUGUAUACACUGUAUUUCUAAUCAAUUCGAUGUUAUUGUAAUGGAAUAAAUGUUAUUUUCUUUCAAAAACAAGGAAAUGUCUAAGUGACCCCAAACUUUUGAACGGUUGUGUAACUCUGGGUCUUCCUUUCCUGUGGAGGUCCUCAUGAGAGCCAGUUUCAUCAUAGUGCUUGAUGGUUUUUGCGACUGCACUUGAAGAAACGUUCAAAGUUUUUGUGGGCAAAGCUGUCAUCAAGGCAAAUGUUGGCUACUUUGAAGAAUCUCAAAUAUAAAAUAUAUUUAGAUUUGUUUAACACUUUUUUUUGUUACUACGUGAUUCCAUAUCUGCUACUUCAUAGUUUUGAUGUCUUCACUAUUAUUCUACAAUUUAGGAAAUAGUAAAAAUAAAGAAAAAUCCUUGAAUGAGUAGGUGUGUCCAAACUUUUGUCUGUGUAACGGUUGUCGUCGGAUUGAGACCAAAACGCAGCGGGUAUAUGUGUACUCAUCUUCUUUUAUUACGGAAAGAAGGAAAAAAACAAAAUAAACACGUACACCAAAAGAAACACAAUGACGACUAAACAGUCCUGUAAGGCCAUAAGCUAUACACGGAACAAUCUCCCACAAACACUAAACCAAACACAUACCCAUAUAUAGGACUCUCAAUCAGAGGCAACGAGAAAACACCUGCCUCCAAUUGAGAGUCCAACCCCAAUAAACUAGACAUACAAAAGACUAGAGACCACAUAGAAAUACAAACAUAGAACAUUACCCAAAAACCCGGAAAUAAUAAAUCAAACACCCUACUAAAUAAACUUC
rnacentral:lncRNA from 1 species